rnacentral:rRNA from 1 species
CCUACGUGCGGCAGCAGUGAGGAAUAUUGGUCAAUGGACGCAAGUCUGAACCAGCCAUGCCGCGUGCAGGAAGACGGCCCUAUGAGUUGUAAACUGCUUUUGUACGAGGGUAAACGCAGAUACGCGUAUCUGUCUGAAAGUAUCGUACGAAUAAGGAUCGGCUAACUCCUUGCCAGCAGCCGCUGUAAUCCGGAGGAUUCAAGCGUUAUCCGGAUUUGUUGGGUUUAAAGGGUGCGUAGGCGGUCGGAUAAGGUAGAGGUGAAAUCCCGAGGCUCAACUUCGGAAUUGCCUGUGAUACUGUUCGGCUAGAGAGUAGUUGCGGUAGGCGGAAUGUAUGGUGUAGCGGUGAAAUGCUUAGAGAUCAUAAAGAACACCGAUUGCGAAGGCAGCUUACCAAGCUACUUCUGACGUUGAGGCACGAAAGCGUGGGGAGCAAACAGGAUUAGAUACCCGAGUAGUC